rnacentral:rRNA from 1 species
UACGGAGGGGGCGAGCGUUAUUCGGAAUCAUUGGGCGUAAAGGGCGCGUAGGCGGCUUCGUAAGUCUUGGGUGAAAGCCCUCGGCUCAACCGAGGAAUUGCCUUGGAUACUGCGAAGCUCGAGGCUGGAAGAGGACAGUGGAAGUUCCCGGUGUAGCGGUGAAAUGCGCAGAUAUCCGGAGGAACACCGGUGGCGAAGGCGGCUUCCUGGACCGACACUGACGCUGAGGCGCGAAAGCUAGGGGAGCAAACGGG